GACGAACCGUGCAAACGUUGUCCGGAAUUACUGGGCGUAAAGCGUGCGUAGACGGUUGCGUAAGUCAGAUGUGAAAGCCCCGGGCUCAACCUGGGAAUUGCAUUUGAGACUGCGUAGCUAGGGUGCGGAAGAGGGAAGCGGAAUUUCCGGUGUAGCGGUGAAAUGCGUAGAUAUCGGAAGGAACACCAGUGGCGAAAGCGGCUUCCUGGUCCAGCACCGACGUUCAGGCACGAAAGCGUGGGGAGCAAACAGG
rnacentral:rRNA from 1 species